UACGAAGGGGGCUAGCGUUGCUCGGAAUCACUGGGCGUAAAGCGCACGUAGGCGGCUUUUUAAGUCAGGGGUGAAAUCCUGGAGCUCAACUCCAGAACUGCCUUUGAUACUGGGAAGCUUGAGUCCGGGAGAGGUGAGUGGAACUCCGAGUGUAGAGGUGAAAUUCGUAGAUAUUCGGAAGAACACCAGUGGCGAAGGCCGCUCACUGGCCCGGUACUGACGCUGAGGUGCGAAAGCGUGGGGAGCAAACAGG
rnacentral:rRNA from 1 species